rnacentral:rRNA from 1 species
GACGAACGCUGGCGGCGUGCUUAACACAUGCAAGUCGAACGGAAAGGCCCUUCGGGGUACUCGAGUGGCGAACGGGUGAGUAACACGUGGGUGAUCUGCCCUGCACUUUGGGAUAAGCCUGGGAAACUGGGUCUAAUACCGAAUAGGACCACGCGCUUCAUGGUGUGUGGUGGAAAGCUUUUGCGGUGUGGGAUGGGCCCGCGGCCUAUCAGCUUGUUGGUGGGGUAAUGGCCUACCAAGGCGACGACGGGUAGCCGGCCUGAGAGGGUGACCGGCCACACUGGGACUGAGAUACGGCACAAACUCCUACGGGAGGCAGCAGUGGGGAAUAUUGCACAAUGGGCGCAAGCCUGAUGCAGCGACGCCGCGUGAGGGAUGACGGCCUUCGGGUUGUAAACCUCUUUCAAUAGGGACGAAGCGCAAGUGACGGUACCUAUAGAAGAAGCACCGGCCAACUACGUG